AGACCCGAAACCCGGUGAUCUAGCCAUGGGCAGGUUGAAGGUUGGGUAACACUAACUGGAGGACCGAACCGACUAAUGUUGAAAAAUUAGCGGAUGACCUGUGGCUGGGGGUGAAAGGCCAAUCAAACCGGGAGAUAGCUGGUUCUCCCCGAAAGCUAUUUAGGUAGCGCCUCGUGAAUUCAUCUCCGGGGGUAGAGCACUGUUUCGGCUAGGGGGCCAUCCCGGCUUACCAACCCGAUGCAAACUGCGAAUACCGGAGAAUGUUAUCACGGGAGACACACGGCGGGUGCUAACGUCCGUCGUGAAGAGGGAAACAACCCAGACCGCCAGCUAAGGUCCCAAAGUCAUGGUUAAGUGGGAAACGAUGUGGGAAGGCCCAGACAGCCAGGAUGUUGGCUUAGAAGCAGCCAUCAUUUAAAGAAAGCGUAAUAGCUCACUGGUCGAGUCGGCCUGCGCGGAAGAUGUAACGGGGCUAAACCAUGCACCGAAGCUGCGGCAGCGACGCUCAGGCGUUGUUGGGUAGGGGAGCGUUCUGUAAGCCUGUGAAGGUGGCCUGUGAGGGUUGCUGGAGGUAUCAGAAGUGCGAAUGCUGACAUAAGUAACGAUAAAGCGGGUGAAAAGCCCGCUCGCCGGAAGACCAAGGGUUCCUGUCCAACGUUAAUCGGGGCAGGGUGAGUCGACCCCUAAGGCGAGGCCGAAAGGCGUAGUCGAUGGGAAACGGGUUAAUAUUCCCGUACUUGGUGUUACUGCGAAGGGGGGACGGAGAAGGCUAUGUUGGCCGGGCGACGGUUGUCCCGGUUUAAGCGUGUAGGUGUGUGUUCCAGGUAAAUCCGGUUCACUUUAACACUGAGGCGUGACGACGAGGCACUACGGUGCUGAAGCAACAAAUGCCCUGCUUCCAGGAAAAGCCUCUAAGCAUCAGGUAACAUCAAAUCGUACCCCAAACCGACACAGGUGGUCAGGUAGAGAAUACCAAGGCGCUUGAGAGAACUCGGGUGAAGGAACUAGGCAAAAUGGUGCCGUAACUUCGGGAGAAGGCACGCUGACACGUAGGUGAAGUGAUUUACUCAUGGAGCUGAAGUCAGUCGAAGAUACCAGCUGGCUGCAACUGUUUAUUAAAAACACAGCACUGUGCAAACACGAAAGUGGACGUAUACGGUGUGACGCCUGCCCGGUGCCGGAAGGUUAAUUGAUGGGGUCAGCGCAAGCGAAGCUCCUGAUCGAAGCCCCGGUAAACGGCGGCCGUAACUAUAACGGUCCUAAGGUAGCGAAAUUCCUUGUCGGGUAAGUUCCGACCUGCACGAAUGGCGUAAUGAUGGCCAGGCUGUCUCCACCCGAGACUCAGUGAAAUUGAACUCGCUGUGAAGAUGCAGUGUACCCGCGGCAAGACGGAAAGACCCCGUGAACCUUUACUAUAGCUUGACACUGAACAUUGAGCCUUGAUGUGUAG
rnacentral:rRNA from 1 species